rnacentral:rRNA from 1 species
AUCCCUAGUAACGGCGAGUGAAGCGGGAAGAGCUCAAAUUUGUAAUCUGGCACUUUCAGUGUCCGAGUUGUAAUCUCGAGAAGUAUUUUCCGCGCCGGACCGCAUACAAGUCUGUUGGAAUACAGCGUCAUAGUGGUGAGAACCCCGUAACUGAUGCGGAUGCCCGGUGCUUUGUGAUAUACUUUCGAAGAGUCGAGUUGUUUGGGAAUGCAGCUCAAAUUGGGUGGUAAAUUCCAUCUAAAGCUAAAUAUUGGAGCAAGACCGAUAGCGAACAAGUACCGUGAGGGAAAGAUGAAAAGCACUUUGGAAAGAGAGUUAACAGUACGUGAAAUUGUUGGAAGGGAAACGCUUGAAGUCAGACUUGCUAUUCGGAGUUCAGCCGCAAGGUGUAUUCUUCGAUUUGCAGGCCAGCAUCAGUUUUUGGGGGUGGAAAAUCGUGGUUUGAAGGUAGCAGCUUCGGCUGUGUUAUAGCUUUCCACUGGAUUCAUCUUCGGGGACUGAGGAACGCAGUACGCUUUUUGCAAGGCUUUCGAGCUUUUCGUACUUAGGAUGCUGGUGGAAUGGCUUUAAACGACCCGUCUUGAAACACGGACCAAGGAGUCUAACAUGCUUGCGAGUGUUUGGGUGUCAAACCCGGACGCGCAAUGAAAGUGAAUGGAGGUGGGAUCCGCAAGGUGCACCAUCGACCGAUCUGGAUUUUCUAAGAUGGAUUUGAGUAAGAGCAAUUAUGU